rnacentral:lncRNA from 1 species
AAUUUAUAAAAUUUAUCAUUUUAAGCAUAAUAUAAUUUUUAUUUUUCUAUAUCAAAAAUAAUAGAAAUAAAAGUUAUUUUUUGACCCCAAAAAUAUAAUUAUGAUUAGGUAUUUUUGUUAACAAAUAACAUCAUUUUUUUCUCAGUUGAAUACUGCUAUUUAGCAGAGUGAAACAGGUCCUACUAUAAACUGCUUAUCUCAUAGAAGUGUCAGCAGGAUGGUGAAAGACUGGAGUUAUCAUUUCCAUGAAUAAACUUUCCAGGGAGUUGGAUCUAAAAUUGAACACGGAUCUUCCACAAUGAAAAACCAAAGUGUUUCUAUACAGCCAAUCUAGAUGACAUCACAGUUAGAUUUUUUUUAAGUUCUAUAUGGUUUAACAUCACUUUUUGUCUGAUAGAUACUAAGUGGCAUAAUGCCACUAUGGUCCACCCCUACUCCAUCUGAUAGCUGAUCCUACCUGGUAGGAUCAGCUAUAAGGCUGAAUGAGUCUGGUCUGGACCCCUCCUAAAGAAAUUGGAAGUAUGGGAAUCAGAAAUUGAAUGCAGAUCUACCAGAAUGGAAGCAAUAGCAUGUUUCCAUUGUGGCAAUUUGGUCAAUGUUAUAAUUAGAUUAAUCAAACUAUCAAAUCUUGCAUAGGAUAUAUUUGGUAGUAGCCAUUUUUAGAGUCUAUAGAGGCUGAUCAUCCCUAUAUUAAUUCAACUCCUGUUGCAGUAUGUUAUAAAAAGAAGAUCACAAAAAACAGUUUUUGCUGGAAUUGCAGAAAUAGAAAAAAUACAACUAAUCAUCCAUAAUGGAAUUAACCAGAAGAGUAAAGAUGGGAUCAACACUAUUCUUAAAAAGUGGAGAUGUGGGACUGGAAUUGAACCUGAAUCUUGCAAGAUGAUAAGAGAUUGCUUUUCCAUGCAGAUAUCUGAUUAACUUUAUAGUUGUGGAUAUUUUUAUCAAAUGUAUGAUAGAUGAAGGAAAGGAGGCACUAAUUGCAAUUUUGUCAAAGGGUGCCACAAUGGUAGCAGCAGUCCUAGUUUCAAAAUCAAAUAAUACAUGCCUUGGUAAUGUGGAGGAAUAUAUAAAGUGUGUUAAUGUCAUCAGAAAUACUUCAUGUAUAUUUGACACAGGACUAUUCAAAAUUAAAAAAUGUAUAAUGAAUAUUUAAAAUUUAAAUUAUUUUUUCUAAAUAUGGGAUGUAUUUUGACAAAUUUUAAUAUAAAAUAAAACUCAAAUUAAAUUCUUUAAAAAAAUCUGCAAGUCACAUGCUAGCAAUGCAGCAUCUUCUAAAUUACAAUGUUAAACUUUUAAUGAAUGCAAUGAGAUAACAUUUUUCAUUGAAUUUAUAUGCUUUUGUUAUGUUUUUAUUUUAUAUAUAAUAUAUUAUAUUAUUCUUUUGACAAUGUAGUCAGGGCCAGCUUGAGAAAAGUAGGGCCUGGUUGCAAAGCUGUUGUGUAGGGCCUAAUAAUUUAUAACAACUAUUAUUAAUUGAAAUAAUAAUUUAAUUGAAGAGGAUCAUGUAGAUAUACAGAAUCAUGGGGCCUUUUGUGAUAACAUCAUUUGCACCACCCUCUGGCCAGUUCUAUUUAUAAUUAUUAUUACCGGUAUUUUCUUUGCAAAAAAUAUUUUGUGAAAUUACUAAACACUGAUAGGUAUUAAUUUUUAUUAGUGGCAUUUUCUUUGUUUUUCUUUUAUUUUUUAACAUCCCAUUUUAACCAGAAUUUACUAAAUGCUAGAAUCAUUUCAGAGCCUACUGUGUUAAAAAAGCAAAUAUUGAUAUUAUCUUUAAUCUUUGUUCGGCUCUUUAGGCAGG